rnacentral:rRNA from 1 species
AGUGAACGCUGGCGGUAGGCCUAACACAUGCAAGUCGAACGGCAGCACAGUAAGAGCUUGCUCUUACGGGUGGCGAGUGGCGGACGGGUGAGGAAUACAUCGGAAUCUACUUUUUCGUGGGGGUUAACGUAGGGAAACUUACGCUAAUACCGCAUACGACCUACGGGUGAAAGCAGGGGAUCUUCGGACCUUGCGCGAUUGAAUGAGCCGAUGUCGGAUUAGCUAGUUGGCGGGGUAAAGGCCCACCAAGGCGACGAUCCGUAGCUGGUCUGAGAGGAUGAUCAGCCACACUGGAACUGAGACACGGUCCAGACUCCUACGGGAGGCAGCAGUGGGGAAUAUUGGACAAUGGGCGCAAGCCUGAUCCAGCCAUACCGCGUGGGUGAAGAAGGCCUUCGGGUUGUAAAGACCUUUUGUUGGGAAAGAAAAGCAGCAGGUUAAUACCCCGCUGUUCUGACGGUACCCAAAGAAUAAGCACCGGCUAACUUCGUG